GGAUUAGAUACCCUGGUAGUCCACGCAGUAAACGUUGUUCACUAGGUGUAGCGGGUAUUGACCCCUGCUGUGCCGCAGCUAACGCAUUAAGUGAUCCGCCUGGGGAGUACGGCCGCAAGGUUAAAACUCAAAGGAAUUGACGGGGGCCCGCACAAGCGGUGGAGCAUGUGGUUUAAUUCGACGCAACGCGAAGAACCUUACCUGGAUUUGACAUCUCGGGAAUUCCUAUGAAAAUAGGACGUGCCCUUCGGGGAGCCUGAUGACAGGUGCUGCAUGGCUGUCGUCAGCUCGUGCUG
rnacentral:rRNA from 1 species